rnacentral:rRNA from 1 species
ACAGCUCCGAGCAGUGGAUCACUCGGCUCGCGGGUCGAUGAAGAACGCAGCCAGCUGCGAGAUUUGGUGUGAAUUGCAGAACACUCAGAUCACUGAUUAUUCGAACGCACAUUGCGGCUCCCGCUCCUCUGCGGGAGCCUCGCCUGUCUGAGGGUCGCGUGAUGCAUGCAGAGGUUCUUUCCUCGGAAGGUGACCAAACGGCCCCUUCGGAUUCGUCCGUGGGCUCAGAGAACGAUCUCUCCCGGGGAUCGACCGCAAACGUACCCCCGGGAGUAAGAUAAAGGGAUAACUAUGAUAAGAAGCGACCUCAGAUCAGACGAGAGAACCCGCCGAACUUAAGCAUAUCAGUAAGCGGAGGAAAAGAAAACAACAGUGAUUCCCCCAGUAGCGGCGAGCGAAAAGGGAAGAGCCCAGCGCCGAAUCCCUGCGUCGAGAGGCGCACCCUGGGAAAUGUGGCGUAAGGAGUGCGCGCAGGUCCGCCGCAGGGUUCGAGGUAAGUCCCCCUGACAGGGGCUUUUCCCGUGGCGGGUGCCAGGCCCGUGUCCUCGAGCCCCGUCGGCGGUGCCGGCGCCUCCGGAGAGUCGGGUUGCUCGGGAGUGCAGCCCCAAGGCGGGAGGUAGACUCCUCCCAAGGCUAAAUACGACCGCGAGACCGAUAGCAAACAAGUACCGUGAGGGAAAGUUGCAAAGAACUUUGAAGAGAGAGUUCAAGAGACGUGAAACUGCUCGGAGGGAAACGGGUGGGCCCUCGAAGUCCCGACCUUCCGCGGAGACUCAGUCGCUGUCGAGCGACGCACUUCUCCGCGGGAUUCUAGGGAAGUCGCGGCCGGUCGCCUUCUUCUCUCCGCCUCCGGGUGAGUCCGCCGCGCACCUUACGGAGCGUCGGCGUCCCCCGGGGGCCCGAUGCAGAGAGGGCGACCCGGUGCCCGCACGGGCCAGCUCCUCCCGCCGUCCGCCUCUUCCGGGCACCUGAAGCCCGUCCGUCGCCGACGCGCCUCGUCCCUCGUGGAGGGCGGUCCUUCGGACGACUCCUCGAAGUCGGAAAUGUACUCUUGCGGGCGGAGGGAGUUGCGGUUCCGCGACGAGUAGGUCGGUCACCCACCCGACCCGUCUUGAAACACGGACCAAGGAGUCUUGCUCUCGUGCGAGUCUAAAGGUACACUACGAAGCCCAGAGGCGCAGCGAAAGCGUAGAUCGCGAUCCCUCCUCUGACUCGAGGGGGGCGCAGCGACCGCCCGUGCCCUGAAGUGGGAACGGAGCGAGAGCACGAGGGCAGGGACCCGAUAGGUGGUGAACUAUUCUCGGGCAGGACGAAGGCCGAGGAAACUCGGCUGGAGGUCCGAAGCGGUUCUGACGUGCAAAUCGAUCGUCCGACCCGAGUAUAGGGGCGAAAGACCAAUCGAACCACCUGGUAGCUGGUUCCCUCCGAAGUUUCCCUCAGGAUAGCCGUCGCUCGUCGGCAGCAGUCUCGCCGGGUAGAGAGAAUGAUUAGAGCGCCUCGGGGACGCCCGUGUCACUCGACCUCUUCUCAAACUACGAACGGACGAGAAGGGAGCCUCUCCCGAUUCGGAGGCCUCCCGAGUAAGGAUGCAGAGUGGCGCGUGGGCCACUUUUGGUAAGCAGAACUGGCGCUGCGGGAUGAACCGAACGCCGGGUUAAGGCGCCCGAUGCGGGACGCUCAGAGACCCCAUAAAAGGUGUCGGUUGCUCUAUACAGCAGGACGGUGGCCACGGAAGUCGGCAUCCGCUAAGGAGUGUGUAACAACUCACCUGCCUAAGCAACCGGUCCUGAAAAUGGAUGGCGCUCCAGCGUCGAGCCCAUACCCGGCCCUUUCUCUAACGUUUCGGAUACGGAGAAAGGAGUAGGAGGGUCGCGGCGGAGCGCGUAGAAGGUCAGGGCGUGAACCCGACUGGAGCCUCCGCCGGUGCAGAUCUUGGUGGUAGUAGCAAAUAUUCGAGUGAGAACCUCGAAGACUGAAGCACGGAGAAGGGUUCCAUGUGAACAGCAGUUGAACAUGGGUGAGUCGGUCCUGAUUCACUUCCUAAUGGAAUUACUUAAAAGCUUCUAUUAUUUGAGAUGAGAAGUAUUGGAGAAUGGGAAAAGGGUUAAUAUUCCCUUACCCGGACACGGAGAUAGGGGCACCCGUGUCCCAAGUGCGGUAACGCAAACGAACUCGGCGACGCCGUCGGAGGACCCGGAGAAGAGUUGACUUUUCUUCGUAAGAGCUCGUGUCCCUGGAAUCUCGUCACGAGGAGAUAGGGACGCUGUUCUCGUAAGAGCACGGUCGCUGCUGCCGUGUCCGGUGCGCCUCCGCCGGCCCUUGAAAAACCGAGGGAGAGAGUGUGAUUUUCGUGCCGGUCCGUACCCAUAUCCGCAGCAGGUCUCCAAGGUGAACAGCCUCUAGUCUCUAGAACAAUGUAGGUAAGGGAAGUCGGCAAGUUCGAUCCCUAACUUCGGGAAAAGGAUUGGCUCUUGUGUUUCCGUCCUCGCGGACCUCUUUUGCCGUAUUUCUUGCGCUUCUGCCGUGGGGACUGACCGCCCUCUCCGAGGCGUGGUCGGACCCCUACGCGGACGGAGGGAAGAGGAAAGAGGGUGGCCUCGCUCCUUCGAGAGCCGGGGCUUGUGCCGGCGGGACAUCGUGGAAACGAACAAGAACUGGCACGGACUAGGGGAAUCCGACUGUCUAAUUAAAACAAAGCAUUGCGACGGCCGGAGAACGGUGUUGACGCAAUGUGAUUUCUGCCCAGUGCUCUGAAUGUCAAAGUGAAGAAAUUCAAUGAAGCGCGGGUAAACGGCGGAAGUAACUAUGACUUUCUUAAGGUAGCCAAACGCCUCGUCAUCUAAUUAGUGACGCGCAUGAAUGGAUUAACGAGAUUCCCACUGUCCCUAUCUACUAUCUAGCGAAACCACAGCCAAGGAACGGGCUUGGCAAAUUCAUCGGGGAAAGAAGACCCUUUCGAGCUUGACUGUAGUCUGACUCUGUGGCGAGGCAUUAUUGGCGUAGUCUAGGUGGGAGUC